GUACGUAGGUGGCAAGCGUUGUCCGGAAUUACUGGGUGUAAAGGGAGCGCAGGCGGGGAGACAAGUCAGCUGUGAAAUGCAUAGGCUUAACCUAUGAAUUGCAGUUGAAACUGUUUUUCUUGAGUGGAGUAGAGGUAGACGGAAUUCCGAGUGUAGCGGUGAAAUGCGUAGAUAUUCGGAGGAACACCAGUGGCGAAGGCGGUCUACUGGGCUCUAACUGACGCUGAGGCUCGAAAGUGUGGGGAGCAAACAGGAUUAGAUACCCU
rnacentral:rRNA from 1 species